UACAGAGGUCUCAAGCGUUGUUCGGAUUCAUUGGGCGUAAAGGGUGCGUAGGUGGCGCCAUAAGUCAGGUGUGAAAUCUCGGGGCUCAACCCCGAAACUGCACUUGAUACUGUGGUGCUCGAGUACUGGAGAGGAGAUUGGAAUUUACGGUGUAGCAGUGAAAUGCGUAGAUAUCGUAAGGAAGACCAGCGGCGAAGGCGAAUCUCUGGACAGUUACUGACACUGAGGCACGAAGGCCAGGGGAGCAAACGGG
rnacentral:rRNA from 1 species